rnacentral:rRNA from 1 species
UACGAAGGUGGCAAGCGUUAUUCGGAUUUACUGGGCGUACAGGGAGCGUAGGCGGUUCGGUAAGCCCUCUGUGAAAUCUUCAGGCUUAACCUGGAAAAGUCGGAGGGGACUGCCGGGCUAGAGGACGGGAGAGGAGCGCGGAAUUUCCGGUGUAGCGGUGAAAUGCGUAGAGAUCGGGAGGAAGGCCGGUGGCGAAGGCGGCGCUCUGGAACGUUUCUGACGCUGAGGCUCGAAAGCGUGGGGAGCAAACAGG